UACAGAGGUCCCGAGCGUUGUUCGGAUUCAUUGGGCGUAAAGGGUGCGUAGGCGGUCUUCUAAGUUUGAUGUGAAAUCCCGGGGCUCAACCCUGGAAUUGCAUUGAAUACUGGAGGACUAGAGUACUGGAGAGGAAACUGGAAUUUACGGUGUAGCAGUGAAAUGCGUAGAGAUCGUAAGGAAGACCAGUGGCGAAAGCGGCUUCCUGGUCCAGCACCGACGUUCAGGCACGAAAGCGUGGGGAGCAAACAGG
rnacentral:rRNA from 1 species